rnacentral:rRNA from 1 species
CGGGUGAGUAACGCGUGGGUAACCUGCCUCAUACAGGGGGAUAACAGUUAGAAAUGACUGCUAAUACCGCAUAAGACCACAAUACUGCAUGGUACAGUGGUAAAAACUCCGGUGGUAUGAGAUGGACCCGCGUCUGAUUAGGUAGUUGGUGAGGUAACGGCCCACCAAGCCGACGAUCAGUAGCCGACCUGAGAGGGUGACCGGCCACAUUGGGACUGAGACACGGCCCAG